rnacentral:rRNA from 1 species
AUUGAACGCUGGCGGCAGGCCUAACACAUGCAAGUCGAGCGGACGAGGAAAGCUUGCUUUUCGAUUCAGUGGCGGACGGGUGAGUAAUGCCUAGGAAUCUGCCUGUUAGUGGGGGAUAACUCGGGGAAACUCGGGCUAAUACCGCAUACGUCCUACGGGAGAAAGUGGGGGAUCUUCGGACCUCACGCUAACAGAUGAGCCUAGGUCGGAUUAGCUAGUAGGUGAGGUAAUGGCUCACCUAGGCGACGAUCCGUAACUGGUCUGAGAGGAUGAUCAGUCACACUGGAACUGAGACACGGUCCAGACUCCUACGGGAGGCAGCAGUGGGGAAUAUUGGACAAUGGGCGAAAGCCUGAUCCAGCCAUGCCGCGUGUGUGAAGAAGGUCUUCGGAUUGUAAAGCACUUUAAGUCGGGAGGAAGGGCUGCAGGUUAAUACCUUGCAGCCUUGACGUUACCGACAGAAUAAGCACCGGCUAACUUCGUGCCAGCAGCCGCCGUAACAC